UACGUAGGUGGCAAGCGUUGUCCGGAUUUAUUGGGUUUAAAGGGUGCGUAGGCGGUUAUAUAAGUCAGUGCUGAAAUAUCCCGGCUUAACCGGGAGGGUGGCAUUGAUACUGUAUGACUUGAGUAAAGUUGAGGUUGGCGGAAUUGACGGUGUAGCGGUGAAAUGCGCAGAUAUCAGGAAGAACACCCGUGGCGAAGGCGGCUCUCUGGGACGGUACUGACGCUGAGACGCGAAAGCGUGGGGGAUCAAAACAGG
rnacentral:rRNA from 1 species